GCAUCGCUGGUCUAGUGGUAGAAUACUCGCCUGCCACGCGGGUGACCCGGGUUCAAUUCCCGGUCGAUGCA
rnacentral:tRNA from 1 species